rnacentral:rRNA from 1 species
GAACUGAAGAGUUUGAUCCUGGCUCAGAUUGAACGCUGGCGGAAUGCUUUACACAUGCAAGUCGAGCGGCAGCGCGGGGGCAACCCUGGCGGCGAGCGGCGAACGGGUGAGUAAUGUAUCGGAACGUACCCAGUCGUGGGGGAUAACUAUCCGAAAGGAUAGCUAAUACCGCAUACGACCUGAGGGUGAAAGCGGGGGACCUGGGGUAACUUGGGCCUCGCGCGAUUGGAGCGGCCGAUAUCGGAUUAGCUAGUUGGUGAGGUAAAGGCUCACCAAGGCGACGAUCCGUAGCUGGUCUGAGAGGACGACCAGCCACACUGGAACUGAGACACGGUCCAGACUCCUACGGGAGGCAGCAGUGGGGAAUUUUGGACAAUGGGGGCAACCCUGAUCCAGCCAUUCCGCGUGAGUGAAGAAGGCCUUCGGGUUGUAAAGCUCUUUCAGCAGGAACGAAACGGUCUUUUCCAAUACAAGAGGCUAAUGACGGUACCUGAAGAAGAAGCACCGGCUAACUACGUGCCAGCAGCCGCGGUAAUACGUAGGGUGCGAGCGUUAAUCGGAAUUACUGGGCGUAAAGCGUGCGCAGGCGGCUCUAUAAGACAGAUGUGAAA